ACCGGGCGCGGUGGCGCGUGCCUGUAGUCCCAGCUACUUGGGAAGCUGAGGUGGGAGGAUUGCUUGAGCCCAGGAGUUCUGGGCUGCAGUGCGCUAUGCCGAUCGGGUGUCCGCACUAAGUUCGGCAUCAAUAUGGUGACCUCCUGGGAGCGGGGGACCACCAGGUUGCCUAAGGAAGGGUGAACCGGCCCAGGUCGCAAAUGGAGCAGGUCAAAACUCCUGUGCUGAUCAGUAGUGGGAUCGCGCCUGUGAAUACCCACUGCACUCCAGCCUGGGCAACAUAGCGAGACCUCGUCUCU
rnacentral:SRP_RNA from 1 species